rnacentral:lncRNA from 1 species
CAUCCUUCUAGGCAUCUGUGUGUUUGCUAGAGGGGAAGAAAUAGUGUUUCCAGCCUGGGGUCAGAGGCUGGUGGUAGCCAGGAGAGGUGGUGGCAGGAACUGCCCCAAUUCCAGGCUAGAGAUGAACCAGCUGUGAUGGGGAUGGGGACUCUUCCGGAGCAGGAACAGUCAGGGCCUGGUCCUAUCCUGCCCGGGCAUGGACACGUCAGAGGCUUUAUCGUAAAUUGGGGAAAGCUUCAUGACACUACCUCCCACCCUGGCCUACUCCUGUUCUCACAUGGGGCUGUGAAAAUGACCAAUUUUUAAAAAUAUUAGAGAUGGAGUUGAUGGAAAUAUUCAAGCCAAAAGAAUGGUGACACCUCAACAGCUGACGUGCUGGGAGAAGGCUCCAGGGCCAGGGGCUCUCCUGGCCUCUGCGGAUGUCUGACUGAUCAAACUGCCCUGAGGCCUAAGAGGGAAGCGCUCAGAAAAGGAGGGG